CGUCGGUUCAUCUCUUGGAACCUUUGAUCUUGGAGAUCCUCUCAAUCGCGAAUCUCGAGGGUCUUCUAGCAGAACAGAGGUAGGGACCUUCUGGAGGUGGAAUCAUGAUCAGAUAGAGGGCUCUUCGCCCUCUGCUUCCCCUUUUCGAUUGAUACAGGGCGACUGGCCCAAGUGGGCCAUCCGAUCGUCGAAUUCUGAAACUCCGAUGAUGAUCUUUCCAGCUGCCCAGAUGCUUGCGGCUGCUGCUGCUGCUGCUGCAUGGCUUGCACCA
rnacentral:lncRNA from 1 species